GACGAACGCUGGCGGCGUGCCUAAUACAUGCAAGUUGAGCGCUGAAGGUUGGUACUUGUACCAACUGGAUGAGCAGCGAACGGGUGAGUAACGCGUGGGGAAUCUGCCUUUGAGCGGGGGACAACAUUUGGAAACGAAUGCUAAUACCGCAUAAAAACUUUAAACACAAGUUUUAAGUUUGAAAGAUGCAAUUGCAUCACUCAAAGAUGAUCCCGCGUUGUAUUAGCUAGUUGGUGAGGUAAAGGCUCACCAAGGCGAUGAUACAUAGCCGACCUGAGAGGGUGAUCGGCCACAUUGGGACUGAGGCACGGCCCAAACUCCUACGGGAGGCAGCAGUAGGGAAUCUUCGGCAAUGGACGAAAGUCUGACCGAGCAACGCCGCGUGAGUGAAGAAGGUUUUCGGAUCGUAAAACUCUGUUGGUAGAGAAGAACGUUGGUGAGAGUGGAAAGCUCAUCAAGUGACGGUAACUACCCAGAAAGGGACGGCUAACUACGUG
rnacentral:rRNA from 1 species